AUAUGGGACUUCCUGAAACCCUCCAUUUUGGCAGACUUAUUUCUGGUGAAUAAUUGUCUGAAACACAUCACUCAAGUCCAUUCUGAUUUGCUUCUGUGUAGGAAUCCAAAAUUCAGUAAGGAAACAAGAAACUCUUCUGGGGAUCUGACACAAACUGGGAACUAUUGUAAGUCUUCAGGAAAAACUGGUUUUAGCCAGAUUUCAAAAAAAGAAAAUUCUAGAAACAACACUCUGAGUAUUGGCAGAAGAUCCAAUGCUAACUGAAUAUUAUUUUUUGAUUCUUUGUUGCAAAGUAGUGAAUGGAGUCCUGAAGAAAGACUGCUUGGUGACUGAAGUGGUUGAUAUUGGCUAACCAAAGGUAAAAUGCAAACAGGAGGCAGUUAUUCCUAUUUUAAAGCUCACAGACUACUAUUAAAAGAAACAAGAACUCCUGCCAAGUCUUAGCCACUCUACAAAAAGAAAAUCAUUAUGGACUAGAAUGAGCUUCUUUUUACUGCAAAAUUUUCCAUUUAUACUGACAGUUUCCUACAAAACCAGUUUCCCCAUUGAACAGAGAUCUGUCAGUGCCUCUGUGACCAGGAUGUUUGUACCCAGGUACAGAACCAGUGGCACAAGACAUUCAG